rnacentral:piRNA from 1 species
UCAGUAAAGAUUUAUUUCUGACAUUUUUGGU